rnacentral:rRNA from 1 species
GAUGAACGCUGGCGGCGUGCCUAAUACAUGCAAGUCGAGCGAACAGACGAGGAGCUUGCUCCUCUGACGUUAGCGGCGGACGGGUGAUUAACACGUGGAUAACCUACCUAUAAGACUGGGAUAACUUCGGGAAACCGGAUCUAAUACCGGAUAAUAUAUUGAACCGCAUGGUUCAAUAGUGAAGGACGGUUUUGCUGUCACUUAUAGAUGGAUCCCGGCCGCAUUAGCUAGUUGGUACGUUAACGGCUUACCAAGGCAACGAUGCGUAGCCGACCUGAGAGGGGGAUAGGCCACACUGGAACUGAGACACGGUCCAGACGCCUAAGGGAGGCAGCAGUAGGGAAUCUUCCGCAAUGGGGGAAAGCCUGACGGAGCAACGCCGCGUGAGUGAUGAAGGUCUUCGGAUCGUAAAACUCUGUUAUUAGGGAAGAACAACUGUGUACGUAAAUAUGGACGUCUUGACGGUACCUAAUCAGAAAGCAACGGCUAACUACGUG